UACGUAGGGCGCAAGCGUUGUCCGGAAUUAUUGGGCGUAAAGAGCUCGUAGGCGGCCUGUCACGUCGGCUGUGAAAGCCCGGGGCUCAACCCCGGGUCUGCAGUCGAUACGGGCAGGCUAGAGUGCGGUAGGGGAGACUGGAAUUCCUGGUGUAGCGGUGAAAUGCGCAGAUAUCAGGAGGAACACCGGUGGCGAAGGCGGGUCUCUGGGCCGUAACUGACGCUGAGGAGCGAAAGCGUGGGGAGCGAACAGG
rnacentral:rRNA from 1 species